AUUGAACGCUGGCGGCAUGCUUUACACAUGCAAGUCGAACGGUAACAGGCCUUCGGGUGCUGACGAGUGGCGAACGGGUGAGUAAUGCAUCGGAACGUGCCCAGAGGUGGGGGAUAAGGAAGCGAAAGCUGUGCUAAUACCGCAUGGGAUCUGAGGAUGAAAGCGGGGGACCAGGCAGGAAUGUUUAGCCUCGCGCCUUUGGAGUGGCCGAUGUCAGAUUAGUUAGUGGGUGGGGUAAAGGCCUACCAAGCCGACGAUCUGUAGCUGGUCUGAGAGGACGGCCGGCCACACUGGGGCUGAGGCACGGCCCAGACUCCUACGGGAGGCAGCAGUGGGGAAUUUUGGGCAAUGGGCGCAAACCUGGUCCAGCAAUGCCGCGUGCGGGAAGAAGGCCUUCGGGUUGUAAACCGCUUUUGUACGGAACGAAAAGGCUCUGGCUAAUACCUGGGGCUGAUGACGGUACCGUAAGAAUAAGCACCGGCUAACUACGUG
rnacentral:rRNA from 1 species